UGAGCUGUGAGUGAGUGUGGUCAGUGAAGUGCUGAGGGCUGGUCACCAGCCUUCCGGAUUAUGCUCUCCCAAAAUUCGGAUAUUCAGAGCAUAUAUUCACCGAGAUGCUUAUUCCCCCUCAGCGUAUAUAUGCUGAGCGUUUAAUCCCUCUUUAAGGGAUUGAAGUAGUCUUGUCUAGUGGCGAGAAAGGUUACGUGCAGCCUUUCAAUGACCCUAGUGUAGUCGAUAGACUUGAAACCCCCCAUUGAGGAACCAGGAAAGAGCCUCUGGAUGACGCCGUCACUAGCAAACUUCAAAGUAAUGUUUGAAGGACACCGGCAGAAAUACAAAUGCACAAUUGAGAGUGAGGUGGGGAGCACUAGCAGGAGUUAUGUAUAUCUGCAGACCUGAAAAUAAACACAUACAAACUAAAGGUAUGCAAAAGGAAACUCGAGUAAGUUGUGACACGUGCUUCUACGGAUAUUGUUGGGUCUACUGCGACUAUGGAUGACAACAGUAGAAAUGAAAGUGGUAUCCUGUGAAUAUGCUCCUGCAAGACGGAAUUCAUUCUGAAGAAGAACUGCAAACAUGCGGUGAGGUACUGGCCGAGAAUAAGCCAUAGGGGCUGGUACCAGCGUUCGCAAAAGAUAUUCACGACCAGCAG